UACGAAGGGGGCUAGCGUUGCUCGGAAUCACUGGGCGUAAAGCGCACGUAGGCGGAUUGUUAAGUCAGGGGUGAAAUCCUGGAGCUCAACUCCAGAACUGCCUUUGAUACUGGCGAUCUUGAGUCCGGGAGAGGUGAGUGGAACUGCGAGUGUAGAGGUGAAAUUCGUAGAUAUUCGCAAGAACACCCGUGGCGAAGGCGGCCCCCUGGGCCGUCAGCCCUGACGGCUGAGGCGCGAAGGCUAGGGGAGCGAACGGG
rnacentral:rRNA from 1 species